UGCUAAUCUCCGAUACCGCUUUGUAUUUACGAUCUUGUAUCCACUGACUGUCUUGUUAGAUUAACCCAAUAAAUUUCAUUCACUCCGCAUACUCAAUCCUAUAGACACCCUUUUAAUUCUUCAAUCACAGACGUAACUCAAUUUCAUAAAACAGUCAAGAGUAAUCAAACCCACUUCAUUAAAAAUCCCGAUUCACCAUUACAACAUUGACUUCAGCAACGAUUGCCUCAGUCUUCCCAAAACUCUAUGAAGAA
rnacentral:lncRNA from 1 species